UACGUAGGUGGCAAGCGUUGUCCGGAAUUAUUGGGCGUAAAGCGCGCGCAGGCGGCCUCUUAAGUCUGAUGUGAAAAGCCCCCCGGCUCAACCGGGGGAGGGCCAUUGGAAACUGGGAGGCUUGAGUAUAGGAGAGAAGAGUGGAAUUCCACGUGUAGCGGUGAAAUGCGUAGAGAUGUGGAGGAACACCAGUGGCGAAGGCGACUCUUUGGCCUAUAACUGACGCUGAGGCGCGAAAGCGUGGGGAGCAAACAGG
rnacentral:rRNA from 1 species